rnacentral:rRNA from 1 species
UACGUAGGGUGCAAGCGUUGUCCGGAAUUAUUGGGCGUAAAGAGCUCGUAGGCGGUUUGUCGCGUCUGCUGUGAAAACUCGGGGCUCAACUCCGAGCUUGCAGUGGGUACGGGCAGACUAGAGUGCGGAAGGGGCAACUGGAAUUCUCGGUGUAGCGGUGAAAUGCGUAGAUAUCGAGAGGAACACCUGCGGCGAAGGCGGGUUGCUGGGCCGACACUGACGCUGAUGCGCGAAAGCCAGGGGAGCAAACAGG